rnacentral:sRNA from 1 species
GCCAGGUGUGGUAGCGAAGACCUGUAAUCCCAGCAGUUUGGGAGGCUGAGAGGAAGGAGGAUGGCAAGUUCAAGGCCAGUCCUAGAAAUUUAGCAAGACCCUGUCUCAA